GACGAACGCUGGCGGCGUGCCUAAUACAUGCAAGUCGAACGAUUAUUUCCUCCCGUGUGCUUUCACUCAUUAGGGGCGGGGGGUUGCGGACCGGGGAGUAACACGUGGUUAACCUACCCAUCAAAGGGGGAAAACACUUGGAAACAGGGGCUAAUACCGCAUACCAGUUUAUGCAGCAUGGCAUGACGGUUUUAGGCGCUUUCGUGGGUGGCUCAUGGCUGCAUCCGCGGUGCAUUAGCUAGUUGGUAAGGUAACGGAUCACCAAGGCCACGAUGCGUAGCCGACCUGAGAGGGUGAUCGGCCACACUGGAACUGAGACACGGCCCAGACUCCUACGGGAGGCAGCAGUAGGGAAUCUUCGGCAAUGGGCGAAAGCCUGACCGAGCAACGCCGCGUGAGUGAAGAAGGUUUUCGGAUCGUAAAACUCUGUUGUUAGGGAAGAACAAGGACGUUAGUAACUGAGCGCCCCCUGACGGUACCUAACCAGAAAGCCACGGCUAACUACGUG
rnacentral:rRNA from 1 species